rnacentral:tRNA from 3 species
GGUGCUAUAGCUCAGUUGGUAGAGCAUCGGACUGAAAAUCCGUGAGUCGGUGGUUCGAAUCCACCUAGCACCA